rnacentral:tRNA from 1 species
GGCGGAGUAGCAAAGUGGUUAUGCAGCGGCCUGCAAAGCCGUGGACGCCGGUUCGAUUCCGACCUCCGCCUCCA